UGCCUGCCACCAUUUACUCCCCUAAACCCCUCACUCCAAAACCAAAACUAUCCCCACCCAACGUCGGUUGCCACUAUCUAAACCACCGCUUCAACGACAAACCCAACACCACCUCAAGAUCAAGCACCACCACUACGAAGAAUGUUCACCGUGGCAAGCGGCGCUCUUGGGCACCCGCCUCCAAAUUCUCUUACCCUUGAUACCUCUAAGAGGAGCCAUUAAUGCAAAAGAAGCCACCACAAAUCCUAUGGUAUUUAAAGGGGUAUUUAGGUGUCGGUGACUCUAGCAAAACAAAGCUUCACCUCCAGCAAGAAUGGAAUUCCCAUCUGGGCUUGGCGAAAAAUUGCUCAAUUUUAUCAAAAUUUUCAAAACCCACAUGCAAUGGCCUCAGAGAAAGAGAGUUGUGGGUCUGAUCAUGGAAUUGGGAACUUGACUAGUGUGUAUUUUGGGAGUAAUCAUGAUUUUGUUUGUUUCCAUGGAACGUCUGCUAAAGCUACAUCAGAGGGAAAAAUUGGUGAAAUACCAGGUAGUGUGUGUACAUUGAUUGUGUUUUUUGUGUCAUUUAUAUUGUUUUAGGAUUGCUCGUAUGCUUGAUUGGGUUGGUGAAGAAUGCGAAAUUGGGGCUGACAUUGAAGCCGACAGAGGCAGCCAGCGGCUGGGUAGGAGUGGUUUUGGUUUUGGGAUGAGAGGAUUAGGGAAGAAGGAGAUGUGGGUAGGAAUUGUGGUUUUGCAUUUUGUUUAAAUUUUUUAUGUAAUAGGAAAAAUGUGUUAUGUCCUAAUUACCCUUGUCUUGUUUGGGAAAAAUUAUUAAAUUUUUAAUUUAUGGGGUCAACUAAUGGUUUUGGGGGUCAAACUUACGGAAACCAUAAUUUUGGACUUGAGUUGGCGAAUGUUUUAAAUAUUUGAUACCUAUGGUAGCACAGAUAAAAGGUGUAGGUCAAAUCUG
rnacentral:lncRNA from 1 species